UGGCCGCGGGAUUAGAGUUUGAUCCUGGCUCAGGAUGAACGCUGGCGGCGUGCCUAAUACAUGCAAGUCGAACGGGGAGUUCGCAAGGGCUCCCAGUGGCGAACGGGUGAGUAACGCGUGGGCGACCUGCCCCAAAGCGGGGGAUAACAGCUCGAAAGGGCUGCUAAUACCCCAUGAGGUCCCGCUGGUUAGAGGCGGCGGGACGAAAGGCGCAAGCCGCUUUGGGAGGGGCCUGCGUCCCAUCAGCUAGUUGGUCGGGUAACGGCUGACCAAGGCGAUGACGGGUAGGGGACCUGAGAGGGUGAUCCCCCACACUGGCACUGAAACACGGGCCAGACACCUACGGGUGGCAGCAGUAGGGAAUAUUGCACAAUGGGCGCAAGCCUGAUGCAGCAACGCCGCGUGCGCGACGAAGGCCUUCGGGUCGUAAAGCGCUUUUCGGGGAGAUGAGCACGGACAGUAUCCCCGGAAGAAGGAUCGGCUAACUACGUGCCAGCAGCCGCGGUAAAACGUAGGAUCCGAGCGUUAUCCGAAUUCACUGGGCGUAAAGCGCAUGCAGGCGGCCGCACAAGUUGGAUGUGAAAUCUCCCGGCUCAACUGGGAGGGGACGUUCAAAACUGUGCGGCUCGAGGGCGGUAGAGGAAGGUAGAAUUCCCGGUGUAGUGGUGAAAUGCGUAGAUAUCGGGAGGAAUACCCGUGGCGAAGGCGACCUUCUGGACCGUUUCUGACGCUCAGAUGCGAAAGCUAGGGGAGCGAACGGGAUUAGAAACCCCGGUAGUCCUAGCCGUAAACGAUGUCGACUGGGCGUGGGUGGGGUAAAAGCCAUCCGUGCCG
rnacentral:rRNA from 1 species